rnacentral:rRNA from 1 species
GAUGAACGCUAGCGAUAGGCUUAACACAUGCAAGUCGAGGGGCAGCACGGUGUAGCAAUACACGUGGUGGCGACCGGCGUACGGGUGCGUAACACGUAUGCAACCUACCCGCUAUUGGGGGAUAACCCGGCGAAAGUCGGACUAAUAUCCCAUAUUAUUCUUACCGGGCAUCCGGUGAGUCUGAAAGAUUUAUCGAUUGCGGAUGGGCAUGCGGAUGAUUAGCUAGUAGGUGGGGUAACGGCUCACCUAGGCGACGAUCAUUAGGGGUUCUGAGAGGAAGGUCCCCCACACUGGAACUGAGACACGGUCCAGACUCCUACGGGAGGCAGCAGUGAGGAAUAUUGGUCAAUGGGCGCUAGCCUGAACCAGCCAAGUCGCGUGAAGGAUGACAGAUCUAUGGUUUGUAAACUUCUUUUGCAGGGGAGUAAAGUGCGACACGUGUGUUGUAUUGCAAGUACCCUGCGAAUAAGCAUCGGCUAACUCCGUG